rnacentral:tRNA from 1 species
GGCUCCAUAGUGUAGUGGUUGACAUGUCUGCUUUACAUGCAAAAGGUCCUGGAUUCGUGCCCCAGGUGAAGCCA